CGAGGAGGAGGAGGAUCCUAGGACCCAGGGAUGGAGUGUUUUUUGGUCCAGAUGUGUGUGCAGAAAGAAGAGCUCCCAGAGAGACUGUCAAACGCAAGGAAUGUUUCCAAUAUGGACAAUGAGGAAAAUUAUUCUGCAGCAAAGAAAGAAACACGACAGCUACUGCACCACCUCACGAGACUUGGCAAAGUAUGGUAAGAUGUGCUUCCAGUCAACGUCUACUGCAAGGCCAUGGGGACCUUACUGAAUGCAGUGCUCAGUGAGAUGAAUAGAGUUACGGCCUUAGAGGACGUAGCUUGAACGUCCUAUGCAGGGCCAUGCUGGAAGAAGGACCUCUAGUGUUAACUCCAUUACCCAAAGAAAACAAAUAAGAAAUACCAAGAGUAAGUUCCAGUCUACAGAAAUGCAGAAAUGGAUGAUGUUCAAAGAGCUGAUGAUGAUCCUACAGGCCAGUCUCCAAGAAAUAAUAGAUCGGUAGGCAUCUUCUAAUAUGCACAAGAAUUCUUUCUAUAGUGAAAAUCCCCAACAGCAGGUUGCUUUGUGCAUAUGGCCAUUUACUGUGCAGAUAGCAUGCUGGGAGUCAGCUACAUUUGAGGCUGCUGGAGCAGGCAGAGGUGUAGCAAGGAUGUUUUGCGCCCGGGAGCAAAGGCCAAAUUUGCAUCCCCCCGAAAUCAUUUGUUACUGUGGAUCUGUUAUUAUUUCUAAGUCAGCCAAAAAAUAAGAACAUAAGAAAAAAAUCACAAAUGCUACUAAUAGCCACAGAUCCUUGGAUCAAUUAGUAGAUCAUAGUAGAAUUAUCUUGAUCGUAUUUUGCUUUUUUCAAAAAACAUUCCAAUAAUUUACUGGAUUUACUGGUUUCUUCCUUUUCUUCUGCUAGUCUUUUCCUGCACUGAGCACCACUCAACUUUCUUCCAGACAUAUCUAAGAUUUAUAAAUAAUCCACCUUUUAGGAUAUUUAUCAUUUAAUCACAAUUACUUAUUGUACUAACUAGACACAUAUAAAUUAUAAAGUUUUUGUGGUUUACAUUCUGUUUAAUUAUUUUUUUCUCUUUAAUCUUUUGUAUCCCAUUCUCAUUAGAUUCAAGUCUUUUACAUUAAAAAUGUGAAAUGCGUAAAAUAUGUACGUUUUAUAAAACCCAAAAGAAAAAAACGUUACAACCUAAAUAUGAAUUUCAUCAUUAUAUUUCAAUCAAGGAUUUAAAACCACUGUCACAGCAAAUGAGUAACGCAUUGCUUUAAUUAAUUGUAAAAAGAUUUUGAGCAUAUCAAAUGUAUUUUAAGCAAUCUGUAAUGAUUCCUAAAUGCCGAGUUACUUACUAGUUAACCUAGUUGUUUUUCAUACUAUCGCAUAGCAAUAAACUACAUCAUAAUUAUGAAUGUAAGAGAUUAACUUGCCUGUUAAAAUAACAUGCAGAAAUAUAUUUAAAUCAAAGUAACACACAACUGGAGAGUCGCUCUCACGUUUUUGAAAGCACUUAAAGCAAUAAGUUAGAGUGGGAGGGGUGGUGCUCUGGCGUAGUUGAGGGGGAUUGGAUUAGAAUGGUGGCAUGGGGGUGCCUGGCUCUGGGGAAAGGAGGGGACUAUUUUGUUGAUAUUUUGGUUUUUAUUUGUUUAUUCCCAAAUAAAAUCACAAAAUGUAUAUUAUUUUUAUAUCAAUAAAUAUGUCAAUUUUUUCAAAUUGCAUGAAGAAUUAUAUGUUUAUUCAAAAUUUCAGGUUUCCAAAGUAUCUGAAAUUUUCACAAAAAAAGAAAAAGAUUUCACAACCAAUCAUUUUAAAGCUAUGCAAAAGAGCAUCUUGUUCAGACCAAUCACUUCAAACCAGAACCCUCAUGCAUAUGCAUGAGUCAAACCUAUAAAGGCCUGAGCAACGCCCGUUUUGUUGUUGCAUCGGAGCGUCGGGUUAGAUGUAGGUUAGACUAGUGCAUGCAUGAGAGGGUGUAUGUGUGUGGUCUAGCGUCUUGUCCCGGGUUGUAUGAGUGAGGUUUAGCAUCAUCUGCAAGUUAAGCCAAGCAGAAGGGUUGGUAUUAUAUUCUGAUAAUCUUACUUAACUAGGUUUAGAUUAGAUAGUUUAGAUUUUAGAUAGAUUAGAUCUCGUCAUCGAGCCUGUCCAUUAGGCAGCGUCGGUCACAGCAUGUCAGCCAUCAUUGUGCCUGUUUGGCGGGUGCGUCGCGAGUUAGUUAGGGUAUUAUUUUAAGAUAAGUGUAGGAUACGUUAGUUUAGAGUCUAGCAUCCAUCGCCGUUCCAGCUGCUCUGAAGUGCAGGAAGAGGCCGAAGGUCUUCCCAGAAGGGGAACACAUCGCUCCCGACUCCAGCACUUCGAGGGACCUCCUGGCUUCUCUCUCCUGAGGCUUUCAACUAGCCAACGGCUCGAGGUUGCCAGUGUUGGCGCCAUCGUCCAUCGAGGGACUCCUGGCUGUUCUUCUCCCGAGGCUUUCAAUUAGCCGACAGAUUGAGGUCGCCAGCAGCACAACCAUCGCCUCAGCGCCGUUAGACUGGUAAAGUUAUAAAGUAUUUGAGGGGACUGCCCCCUUGCUUGUUUACAAUAUAUUGUAGUCAAGUUGUUAUAAACCUUA